rnacentral:ncRNA from 2 species
AGAGUGACCGGUGCAGCUGGUUCGCCCCGUCCGCCAGACGGGUGCGUCGUAAGAGGGAACCCGGUGGGAAUCCGGGACUGCCCCGCAGCGGUGAGCGGGAACGACCGCCGUCAUACGCACUGGGUCCGGGAGGGCCUGGGAAGCGACGGCCAGUAGGUGUCCGCCGGAGAACGCUCCGGCGGGUGUGCCCGUGAGUCCGAAGACCUGCCCGUUGCCCGUACACGGA